AAUGACUUUGCAGAAAAGGAGAGAAAGCUGCAGGAGACACAGAUGUCCACCACCUCAAAGCUGGAGGAAGCUGAGCAUAAGGUUCAGAGCCUACAAACAGCCCUGGAAAAAACUCGAACAGAAUUAUUUGACCUGAAAACCAAAUACGAUGAAGAAACUACUGCAAAGUAAGUCUCUCUGCUUGGCCUCCCUUAUCCAUACGCAUUUCUCACCUGAUUUUGCUUGAGUAGGGCAGGAUCGAGAAGGUUCUUGACCUCUGUGCUGCUGCAGGGACACAGUGUAUUUCCCAUGAGUUACUUGCGUCGGUUCAAUGCACGUUCUAGCACUCACUGGGUAAUCCUUCCAACAAACUUCUUUCCUUCUUUAUUGUGAAGGCUGGUCACUGCUAUGCCUUCUGCCAUGAAAAUUUGGGAGUUAGUUUAUAUAAGAUGUGACACAUGGGACAUUUUUUGUGUGGAGUUGAGUCUGGGUAAAUCACAUGUCUUUUUCCCUGGGCCACAGUUCUUCAUUUCUCCCAGGGCCCUUUAGGAAGGCCUGCCCCAGAAUAAGCACAUUCCCACGCAG
rnacentral:sRNA from 1 species